rnacentral:rRNA from 1 species
CCCUAUGGGGUGCAGCAGGCGCGUAACCUUUACAAUGCACGAAAGUGUGAUAAGGGGAUUCUCCGUGCUCAUGCAUAGCAUGGGCUUUUGUUAAGUGUAAAUAGCUUGGCGAAUAAGUGGUGGGUAAGACUGGUGCCAGCCGCCGCGGUAACACCAGCGCCACAAGUGGCAAUCAGUAUUAUUGGGCCUAAAGCGUCCGUAGCCGGAUCAGUGCAUCCUUUGUGAAAUCACUGCGCUCAACGUAGUGGCGUGCAGAGGACACGGCUGAUCUUGGGAAUGGGAGAACUCAGAAGUAUUUGAGGGGGACUGGUAAAAUGGUAUAAUCCCUCAAGGACUACCGAUGGCGAAGGCAUCUGAGCAGAACAUGUCCGACGGUCAGGGACGAAAGCUAGGGGAGCGAAACGGAUUAGAUACCCGCGUAGUCCUAGCCGUAAACGCUGCGAGCUAGGCGUUGCUUUUCCUCUGUGGAAUGGCAGUGUCGGCGCGAAGGCAUUAAGCUCGCCGCCUGGGGAGUACGGUCGCAAGGCUGAAACUUAAAGGAAUUGGCGGGGGCGCACCACAAGGGGUGCGGCGUGCGGUUUAAUUUAACUCAACACAGAGAAUCUCACUAGAGACGACGGCAAGAUGAUGGUCAGUCUGAAGGGCUUACCGGAUGAGCCGAGAGGUGGUGCAUGGCC